UUAUCGAAUUGUCAACACGAGUUGUUGCUGGCCCUCGAAAGGGGACAUGUGCACGCUCCGUUUGCAUCCACUCACACCUGUGCACCCUUUGCAGUUCUAUGGUCUGGGAGACCCUGUCUUCCUUCUGUGGUUCUGCUUUUUUACACACACACUGUAACAUGGUCAUAUGGAAUGUAUGUGGCGUUUAACGCAAAUACAAUACAACUUUCAGCAACGGAUCUCUUGGCUCUCGCAUCGAUGAAGAACGCAGCGAAAUGCGAUAAGUAAUGUGAAUUGCAGAAUUCAGUGAAUCAUCGAAUCUUUGAACGCACCUUGCGCCCUUUGGCUAUUCCGAAGGGCAUGCCUGUUUGAGUAUCGUGAACACCUCAACUCUCAUGGCUUGCCAUGAUGAGCUUGGAUGUUGGAGGUUUUGCUGGCCCAUGGUCUGCUCCUCUCAAAUGAAUCAGCUUACCAGUGUAUGGUGGCGCCACGGGUGUGAUAACUAUCUGCGCUUGUGGUCGUACGCCGGAUAACCUUCGGCACUGAAGGUUUGCUGGGGCUCAUAAAUGUCUCUCCUCGGGUGAAGACAGCUUCUGAAUGUUUGAUCUCAAAUCAGGUAGGAUUACCCGCUGAACUUAAGCAUAUCAAUAAGCGGAGGAAAAGAAACUAACAAGGAUUCCCCUAGUAACUGCGAGUGAAGCGGGAAGAGCUCAAAUUUAAAAUCUGGCGUGCCUCU
rnacentral:rRNA from 1 species